GUUACCAGAAUUUAAUCCCAGUAGAUAUAAAUUCUUAUACUAAUACCAGCCUAUUCAGACAUAUUUAAUAUACAGCACUAUCUGCUCCAGGAGCAAGAACUGACUCCAAAUUUCUUAUGUGCUUCAUUAAGUCAGAGGAGUCUUUACUGGGAGAUGAAGAUGAUGACUGAGAUGCAGCCACCAGAACAGCUGUCCCAGUGUUGGUGGUUGGCAUCGGAAGUUCCCUCUCCUCAUUACCAGGACGUCGGUUCCACCCAGGAUCACUCAUAGGUCUCCGAACUGAUGACACUAUAUCUGAACUCCUGCUGCGGACUAGCCUUUCUGGGUCUGGGGCCUCUACAAAGGCAGACAAUGCAGAGAAGAGAGAAAAAGCAUCAUUACUCAUUGCCAGGCUCCCUUAAAA